CAAUAGCGUAUAUUAAAGUUGUUGCGGUUAAAAAGUUCGUAGUUGGAUUUCUGCCAAGGACGACCGGUCCGCCCUCUGGGUGAGUAUCUGGCUUGGCCUGGGCAUCUUCUUGGAGAACGUUGCUGCACUUCGCUGUGUGGCGCGGUAUCCAGGACCUUUACUUUGAGGAAAUUAGAGUGUUUCAAGCAGGCUUUUGCCUUGAAUACAUUAGCAUGGAAUAAUAAGAUAGGACCUCGGUUCUAUUUUGUUGGUUUCUAGUGCUGGGGUAAUGAUUAAUAGGGAUAGUUGGGGGCAUUCGUAUUUAACUGUCAGAGGUGAAAUUCUUGGAUGUGUUAAAGACGGACUACUGCGAAAGCAUUUGCCAAGGAUGUUUUCAUUGA
rnacentral:rRNA from 1 species